UACGUAGGGUGCGAGCGUUUGUCCGGAAUUAUUGGGCGUAAAGGGCUCGUAGGCGGUUUGUCGCGUCGGGAGUGAAAUCCACUGGCUUAACUGGUGGCUUGCUUUCGAUACGGGCAGACUGGAGGUAUGCAGGGGAGAACGGAAUUCCUGGUGUAGCGGUGAAAUUCGUAGAUAGUCGGGAGGAACACCGGUGGCGAAGGCGGCGACCUGGGUCGAGACUGACGCUGUGGCGCGAAAGCGUGGGGAGCAA
rnacentral:rRNA from 1 species